rnacentral:rRNA from 1 species
GAUCAUGGCUCAGAUUGAACGCUGGCGGCAGGCCUAACACAUGCAAGUCGAACGGUAACAGGAAGCAGCUUGCUGCUUCGCUGACGAGUGGCGGACGGGUGAGUAAUGUCUGGGAAACUGCCUGAUGGAGGGGGAUAACUACUGGAAACGGUAGCUAAUACCGCAUAACGUCGCAAGACCAAAGAGGGGGGACCUUCGGGCCUCUUGCCAUCGGAUGUGCCCAGAUGGAGUAGU